AUUGAACGCUAGCGGGAUGCCUUACACAUGCAAGUCGAACGGAGUGGCGAACGGGUGAGUAAUGUAUCGGAACGUGCACAGUAGAGGGGGAUAACUACGCGAAAGCGUAGCUAAUACCGCAUACGAUUGGCACGGCCGAUAUCGGAUUAGCUAGGUGGUGGGGUAACGGCUCACCAAGGCGCCGAGCCGGAGCUGGUUUGAGAGGACUAGCAGCCACACUGGGACUGAGACACGGCCCAGACUCCUACGGGUGGCAGCAGUGGGGAAUGUUGGACAAUGGGGUAAACCCUGAUCCAGCCAUCCCGCGUGUGCGAUGAAGGCCUUCGGGUUGUAAAGCACUUUUGGCAGGAAAGCGGUACCUGCAGAAUAAGCACCGGCUAACUACGUGCCAGCCGCCGCGGUAAUAC
rnacentral:rRNA from 1 species